rnacentral:rRNA from 1 species
GACGAACGCUGGCGGCGUGCCUAAUACAUGCAAGUCGAGCGGACCGAAGGGAGCUUGCUCCUGGAGGUUAGCGGCGAACGGGUGAGUAACACGUGGGCAACCUGCCUGUAAGACUGGGAUAACAUCGAGAAAUCGGUGCUAAUACCGGAUAAUAAAAAGAACUGCAUGGUUCUUUUUUGAAAGAUGGUUUCGGCUAUCACUUACAGAUGGGCCCGCGGCGCAUUAGCUAGUUGGUGAGGUAACGGCUCACCAAGGCGACGAUGCGUAGCCGACCUGAGAGGGUGAUCGGCCACACUGGGACUGAGACACGGCCCAGACUCCUACGGGAGGCAGCAGUAGGGAAUCUUCCGCAAUGGACGAAAGUCUGACGGAGCAACGCCGCGUGAGUGAUGAAGGUUUUCGGAUCGUAAAACUCUGUUGUUAGGGAAGAACAAGUGCCGUUCGAAAGGGCGGCACCUUGACGGUACCUAACGAGAAAGCCACGGCUAACUACGUGCCAGCAGCCGCGGUAAAGUA